GUAAGUCAGAUGAUCGCGGGUAGCACUUUGCUACGUGAGGAAAGUCGGAGCUCCAUAGAGCAAGGGUGCUAGGUAACGCCUAGUGGGAGUGAUCCUAAGGAUAGUGCAACAGAAAAUAACCGCCAAUUUAUUUGGUAAGGAUGAAAAGGUGAGGUAAGAGCUCACCGUUGGCUAGGUGACUAGCCAAGCCGUGUAAACCCCACCCGGAGCAAGUCCAAGAUAGGGUUAUAGGGUGCUGCUCGUACCCUCCGGUAGGUAGGACGCUUGAGCCUAUUGGUGACAAUAGGCCUAGAAAGAUGAUCAUCUAAUACAGAACUCCGCUUAUAGAUUUGCUCAA
rnacentral:RNase_P_RNA from 1 species